UUAGGCACUGAUGUGUCACAGAAGCCAGCUCCAGAACUACAAGAAUUGUCUUUCAGAGGUGCUGAGAAUCAACAGAUUAUCAGGAAUUUCCAUGGUGUGAAGGAUUUCGCCGUGGGUGCAGACUGGGCAUGAAAGGUCCUCUGGAGGGGUGGAAGAAAAGACUUCCUGCUGCCUCAAGUGGAAACCUCCUUCAGAAGGACAGGUUAGCUGUGGGUGGCAGCUCUUGACUGUACCACAGCAGUGCUCGUCUGGCAGAGUCAGCUCUGGUGUAUGACAGCUGUGUGUCAACAGCAAUUAGCCAAAAAACAAAAAAAAAGAAAGAUUAGGGACUUCAGUGGCAAAAUAAACAAAAAUACACCUGUAUGGUAAUAAGAGGAAGGCAAAAUGCAUUAAGGUCCAAACAAGAUACACAUGGUGAGUAAAAUGACAUCUUUCUUUUCCAGCAGAUAUUUUUGUUGUCAUAUGCAUGAGGGCCAAGUGCCACCACGCCAGUGGUGCUCAGGCCUUUGGUUAUCUCUAAAGAUAAGAAAAUUACUCUUGGAAUGAAUGUGGCCUCCACUGGAUCUACCGCCUGCCAUUAGAGAAAAGAGCUACCAGAAACUUUCAACAUUUGGAGUGGCAUCCAGGCAUGCCAGCCCUAACUAACUGUUCUUGCCCUGUAGACCUACUGGAGACAUGUUUGGACAUCUAAUUAUCUAAUUAAUUAUUCACCUAAGUCCUGGCCAUAAGCAAAACACAUUUGUCCAGCAAACUGUGCAAUCGCUCUGGGAACUGCUGAGCUCCUGCCUUUUCGUUCUGCUGUUGAAAAUCAAAUUAUAUAGCUUGAGCAACAGAACUGUAAUUAGGGUCAGUAGAAAACUGUGGGUAGGAUAAUAUUGUGGAUUCUGCAAUUUUUUGUCAUGUUGCUCCAUAAUAUGCCAGAAACCAGUAGUUUUAUUGCUGGACAGUGCAUUAACACUGUCCGUGACACAUCCUCUGCUUCCUGCUGUGGAACUGGCCCUUCUGUGAGCCUGUUGCCAAGGCUGGCCUCAAUUUACAAUAAUUCACAACUCCUCCUGGAAUUCAUGGCAAAGCUCUUGUUAACUCCUCUAGGAGCUGGACAGGUCUAGGCAUGGAAAAUAGGGAUGGAUAAGGAAGAUGGUGGAGUAGAGCUGAGGAGAAAAGAAAGCAGGCUAUGUUGUUUCAUUAUAAUCUCCUCAGUUAUCACUGGCUGUCAUACUGAUACCACCAGGAGGCUUUUCCAUGGAUUAAAAUUGCGUUAUAACUAAAAGUUAAUUCUUCAGUUCUUGUUUUUCUGUUCUCCAUCACACUCAGAAAAUCUCUGCUCUAGGCUAUUGCUGCUUCUGCCUCUGGGCUCUUAAGGUCCUCCUUUUUCUCCUUGGAUUUUCUUUUCCUAGCCCCUCAUCUUUCCUGCACAUCUUUAUUCCAGCUGUUUCCAGAUCUCUCCUCUUGGGGGGCUCCAUUCUCUCCACUUGCACCAUUCCAACCCCCAAAAUAGUCAGCUGUGGGCAGGCUAACAACUGACUGUGAUGUGUCAUUGCUGGCCCUUUCAGCCAGGAGAAUACACCUCUUGAGAUCAUUCUUUCAGGAUGUCAGCAAAUUCAGGCAAACGUUACAAGACUGAUAUCAUAAUUGGAAGGCUGCCUAGGAUCAGUUUUUAUAGGGGAAAAAAAAAAUUAACUCUUGUGACUGUCCUGGUGGUCUGAAGACGUAAUACAGGUUUAAAUAAUUAUUAAGAUAAUUGAUUAAUUAAUUAAGAUCCAAGCUUCAUUUCUUGUGACAGGAGAGAGAAAUAAAAAUUAAGAAGGAAAAAAAAGAGCUAAUUGUGGAAA